UGUGAUGUAUUCUAAACUAUGCAUGAAUAGGUGAAAUGAAAACCUAUUUAAUAAACUAGUGCAUUCUUAUUCUCACCCAGGCUGGCAGAUCAAAAGAGACAGUUUUAGUUAUUGUAAUUCAGGAGUAUAACAUCUAUAAAAAGCUGUAAUUUAAAUACAGAAAAUAAAUUUUAAUAUGAAUAAAAGAAUAAUUACAUUAUAAUUCCUACCAAGAUAGUCAAUUGCUUAGCUUCAGAUUCAUAAUAGAUAGUAAAAAAUUACUCAUUUAAUCUUGGUUAUUGGAUUUUUGUUUGUUUGUUUUAAUAAAAAGGUGUUAAGGAAAUAGUGAGUUGAAACCACUGUAUAAAUAGUAGAGAACAUAGUUCAAGGCCAGCCAUAAUGCACUUAAUCCAUCUUUUCAAGUAAGGAAAAAAUUUUAAAAUCUUUGCAAAAUAUUUUCUCACUGAAAUAGUUCAGUGAGAAACUAGUAAGAAAUAGUUCAAUAAAUUAGAAACUAAAGGAAAUAUGUGUCUUGGGACUUUAUAACUCUGUAAUGUUAAAUGUGAAAAGGUGAACGGAACACUCCAAUCAAAAGAAAGAAGAACACUUUUUUACAGAAGGUAGAAAUAAAGCAAUUAUCAUUUCUAAAUAGAGCCCAUCCUUGAAAAACUCAUCCAACUCCCCCACCAACAGCUACUUCCUCGUCACUAUCCACUUGACUCUUCUUGACUUUCAGUACUAGUUGAAGAAAGAAAAAGCAAUAUGGUAGAAAGUGAAAUCUAGCAAUAAGAAGGGUGAAACAUUCUCCCACUCCGACAGUGUGGACCCCUGAGGGGUCAAGGCACCUUCCCACCAUCUAGUGGGAAAGUCUCCAAAUCCUCCCCAAGGAGUAGUAGAGAGACCCUGCUAUGCACAUUGAACACCUACUACAAACAGAAGAACUGUAAAGAGCUCUUUAAAUAAAAUAAUGGUGAUUCUCAUAUUCACAGGGCUGACUAUGUUCCUCUGAUUGUUCUAGGCUGGAAGCAGUUUGGAUUUAGCUUCACCUUCAGAAGCCAGAAGUGAUGAUGUAGGGAAUCUCUUCUUAUUCUCACGUAGAAGCAGAUAUAUAUGUAUUUUUUACGUUGUUGGGCAUUUCUACAGCACUUGGAAACAAAAUUUCAGGGUAACCUAAUGUUAUCUGACAGAGAGAAAAGAAUGCAGACAUAAUGUAUCAGUGUUUUUACAGGAGUAGGCAGAAGAAUCCGUCGCAGCAAGCUGUACCUCUAGUGCUAGCCUAAAGGUAUUAGGUAUAAAAGUAGCUCCUCAGGAGAGGGGAAGAACUGAUUCCACUGUAUGAGCCUCACC
ensembl:lncRNA